rnacentral:lncRNA from 1 species
UAAUUUAUACUUUAUAAUUUAUUAAUUAUAAGUUUAUAAAUUAAAAUUUUAAAUUUUAAAAUUUGGUAUUUUAAAUUUUUGAAAAGCAAAAUUUUAAUAUUUUAUAUUUUUCAAAUUUAAAUUUGAUCUUAAAGUUAAAAUUUGAAAUCUAAAUUAUAAAAUUUAUAAUUUAAAAUUUGAGAUUUUAAAUUUCAAAUUUUUAAAUUUCAACGUUGAUAUUUAAAAUUUUUAAAAAUAUAAUUAUAAAAUUUUAUAAAUUUAAAUUAAACUAUAAUAAGAGGGUAAUAUUAUUAUUUUUAUUUAUAAAAACCUACUAUCCUUUUUAUUCUAUCUUAUUAACCAAACGCUAUUUUUUUUAUUCUCAAGAAUAACCCAAUUUCAUCCAAACACAAAAUUGAUUUAAUCACCGCUUAUACCUCAAUUUAUACCUAUACCUAGAAUAGCCACCUUUUGCUUAUACCCGAACCAAACGAUUGUUAAGCGAAUGACUUUUUUGCCCUUACAGAGUAUAAAUUGUGCUACUAUACUACCGGAAGCAUAGAGCAUUUGUUCAUAUAUUUUUUUAAGCCCUACAUUUUAUUUAGCUGUUAAUUUUUAGACUACUUGUUUGAUAGCUGAAUGAUGCUGAAAAAUUCUGAAAUUCAAUUUUCAAAUACUUUAGCGUC